UACAGAGGUCUCAAGCGUUGUUCGGAUUCAUUGGGCGUAAAGGGUGUGUAGGUGGCGCGCUAAGUCGGGUGUGAAAUUUCGGAGCUUAACUCCGAAACUGCAUUCGAUACUGGCGUGCUUGAGGACUGGAGAGGAGACUGGAAUUCAUGGUGUAGCAGUGAAAUGCGUAGAGAUGCGGAGGAACACCGAUGGCGAAGGCAGCCCCCUGGGCUAAGACUGACGCUGAGGCACGAAAGCGUGGGGAGCAAACAGG
rnacentral:rRNA from 1 species